rnacentral:lncRNA from 1 species
UAGGACUUGUUGCCCAUUCCCCAAGUUGGUGGCCGGCUCGGGCCGUGGCAGGGGACCGAGUCUCUCAGAAAUCCUUGGGUCAUUGAUCUUUGAGCUUAUAUGGAUGGAAUUCUCUCGACGUUGCUUCAGGAAAUCCCGACAAUCGCGAAAGACGGCUUUCGAUCCUUCUGCCCCUUCAGCAAAGAGGUGUCUCCCUCCG